AUUCGACGCUCCCAUCUGAUCCGUGGCCCAGGAUUUUAGCUUUCCGUUUGGUGGGCUCGGGCAUGAGAAUGCGUGGUCUAGCUUUCUUCCCCAUAGCGGUGCUCUUAUUUGGAAGCUAGCGGCUGGAGAAUCGGGAGGAGGAGCACCGGCGGCGACCAUUCAUGGAGUUCCUGAUGCAGCCUAUGCAUGAGAGGUGGGAGAAAGCUUGGUACCGCCGCCAGUGGCGGCGGUGGCGCCUGUGCUGCUGGAGGCGGAUGUGGUACAUGCGGCGGUGCAGCAGCUAGUGGUGGAGCAGGGCGUUCUGGGGUAUGUCCGCUCGGCCGUCAGUGGCGAUGCCCAGAUUGUGUCAGCCAAGCCGUCGGCGGCAGUCAGGAUGGAUAGCUCGCCACAGUCGUCGGAGUUGUCUACUGAGAAGAUGAAUCCUCGGGUGCCUGGAUGGAAUAAGAGGUUGAGGAUUGGAGCUGCUGUACCAACAGGCCGCCUUGUCCAAACCGGAUCAGUGCAUUCGAGAAGGUUGUGCGGAGUUUUGCUAAGAACCCGACUGACAAUGUUAUCACAACAGUUAUUGGCACAACAUUCGACUCGGUUUGUGAGGUGUAUGACUUCUACAAUUUGUACUCGUGGGAGAAGGGCUUUGGCAUUCGUUACGGGAAGAGCAGGCUAAAUGUGGAGAUGACCAAAGCAUGCAGGAAAUAGUUUGUGGUUGCUCGGUGGAUGUUUUUUUUGUUACUUAUUUUUAUGCUGGGACAUACAAUUCAUAUUCGUGCCCUGUGUGUGGUGUCGACAAAAUUACUGAACUCACUGGCUUUUGUUGGAAAUCAUUUUGCAGGGCAAAGCUGGUGUGGAGAACACCAGGUCUUGUCGUUGUGAGUGCCCCUCUCUAAUAAGGCUGCUACGAGCAGAGGACAACGGAUGGUACAUUGCAGAGCAGAGAGACAGUCACAACCACUUGCUGUUGCCUAAUUUCGGUGAGACAAUCCAUUGGCCCUCACACAAGCACAUAGAUGUGUACACCAGGGAUCUAGUGAAACAGUUAAGGCAAAACAAUGUGAACUUAGCAAAGGUGUACAACAUCAUUGGAGGCUUCUUUGGAUCAAUGGAAAAUGUUCCGUUCACUAAGAGGUCGUUAUGUAACCUGUGUGGGAAGAUAAACAGGACCGUGCAAAAGAUAAUGUGAAGAAGACAAUGGAUAUUUUUGCAGAGAUAGGGGCUAAAGAUCCACACUUCACAUAUAGGGUUGAGUCCGACAAUGAGUGCAGGAUUAAGAAUCUGAUGUGGGCAAGUGGGAGCAGCAGGCUUCAAUACUCAUUUUUUGGAGAUGUCAUAACAAUUAACACGACUUAUCGUACUAAUCUGUACGACAUGCCUUUGGCCUGUUUGUAGGGGUAAAUAAUCAUUUUCAGAGUGUGAUCCUGGCAGGUGUGCUCGUGCGUGAUGAAACUGAAGAUAGUUUUGAGUGGGUUUUCUUAGAAUUCCUUAGAAUGAUGGGCGGGUCUCCACCGGUGACCAUACUAACAAGUAAAUUUCUGUUAGCACAAUCGGUGAUUAUGUGCCUCCUGGUUGAACAAUGCACAUGUUUGUUUAGAAAUACAUGAGGCUCCAGUUUGACCGGGAAUCGGAGGAGAACUACGAAGAGAAAUGAACAUGAAUUGUGAGAAUUUCUUGUUGGGAAUGUCAUAUGUAAUUGAAGUCAUUGUGACAAACAUAUGAAUGCUUGUGUACUAUUUGUGCAGGGGAGGCCACUCAUGAGGGAAAACCUUGCAGUGGAAAGGCAUGCUAGCAAGAUAUAUACAAGAGCCAUGUUUGAACAGUUUGGGCAUAUAUUGUAUGAAUGUGGCACUUAUCAAGUUGAAGAGAUUGAGAGACACAAGACAUAUGUCGCAAUCCACAGCGAGGCAGAGAAGAGAGAUAAAUGGUGCAGAGUGGCAUACAAGGUUAGGAUGCUAGAUGGGGGUGAUGAAUUCGACUGAGUAUGGACAAUUUGCACAUAUGGGCUUGCUUUGCAGCCAUGUGAUGAAGCUCGUGAAACGAAGGUCACCACCUUGGCAGUGCAUACUAGGCAAGGGAUCAGCGGGAGCACCUGGCCGGCCUGGGAGGAAGAAGAUGAGCUUGCCAUUUGCCAUCUUCUCUGAUCUGAUUCUUACAAAGCGAGGAAGAAGAGGAUAAGGCAAUGGGGGAGCAGCCCGUGGAGUCUUGUAGUGGAAGGAGCUAGGUGUGGCUACGGCUGGACAACAGCCGUUUAGCAGCAAACGUCUGAGCCGUGGACCAAGAUUCGGUAUCAAACGUCUGAGCCGGCCUUGAAGGCGUGAUGGCCAUUGCAUUGACAGCGACAACUGGGUGGGCCACGACAUGGGAAAAAACAGCGGAUACAUGUCCAUAUACGGACUGACAUACCUGCAGCGGUUGGAAUCUCAGCAAAAGCUGACGGCUAUGAUAUCGAGUCCAUUUGAGCUCGAGCUCAGAAUAGGACUUUCGCUUCCAACGCUUCUUUGGAAGGUGAAGAGAAAGCUUCGUUAUUGGUCAUAAAAGGCCCUUGUGACCAGAAGCUGGUGGAUGCAUGGAUUUCCUUGUCGCCAAGAAGGGAGACUAGUUACAUUCGUACCUCCUCGUCGUCUCCUUGUUGCUAGAACUUUUCUCAUGACACCUAUUGCGAUGAUACUGUAGCUCUGACAAAUUUAAAUAUGCUUACCUUCUGCUUUUCAGCAAUCAUGUGUUAGCUCGGAUAGAUGAAGCACAUGAUGUUUUAUUCC